rnacentral:rRNA from 1 species
CUGUUUACCAAAAACAUGUCUCUUUGUAAAAUAUAAAUAAAGAGUUGGGCCUGCUCGGUGAAUAAGUUUUACCAGCUGCGGAUUUUACCUGACUAAGGAGCAUAAUAAUUUGCCUUAUAAUUUGAGGCUAGAAUGAAUGGUUUGACGAAGGUUAAGCUGUCUCCAUCUUAUUUUUUAGAAUUUAAUUUUUAUAGUGAAAAAGCUUAAAUUUUUUAAAGGGACGAGAAGACCCUAAUGAGCUUAUAAUUUUAUUGUUAUGGUUUAAUAUAUUUAAAUGAUAAUAUAUAAAUUUUAAUUGGGGUGAUUAAGGAAUAAAUUAUGAUUAAUAACUUCCUUAGGUUAAAUAUAUAUUGAUUAAGUAACCAAUAAAUAUAUUGCUUAUAAUAUAGUUACCAUAGGGAUAACAGCGUAAUUUGUUUAGAGAGUUCUUAUUGAAAAACAAGAUUGCGACCUCGAUGUUGGAUUAAAGUAACCUUAAGG